rnacentral:rRNA from 1 species
AACGAACGCUGGCGGCGCGUCUUAAACAUGCCAGUCGAGCGGCAGGACGGGGCUUGCCCCUUCUGAGAGUGGCGGACUGGUGAGUAACACGUGGGUGACAUACCUUUUAGUUGGGGAUAGCUAUUAGAAAUAGUAGGUAAUACCGAAUGUGACCGUACCUGUUAGAGGGGUACGAGGAAAGGAGCUAAGGCUUCGCUAAAAGAAUGGCUCGCGGCCCAUUAUGCUCGUUGGUGAGGUGACGGCCCACCAAGGCGAUGAUGGGUAUCCGGCCUGAGAGGGUGAACGGACACAUUGGGACUGAGAUACGGCCCAGACUUCUACGGGAGGCAGCAGUUAAGAAUAUUCCGCAAUGGACGAAAGUCUGACGGAGCGACGCCGCGUGGAUGAAGAAUGCCGAAAGGUUGUAAAAUCCUUUUAAGCCUGAUGAAUAAGCACAGUAGGGAAUGAUUGUGCGGUGACCGUAGGGCUUGAAUAAGCACCGGCUAAUUACGUG